AGCAUUUCAUCUCCAUGGGGGCCCCGCCAGGAAGGGACGCUCUAGUCACCACGCAGAUAAGAGAGACUGAGAUCAGGGCAGCAAGGCUGCUUGCCCAAAGUCUUGUAGACUGCGGUCCACCAGCACUGAGUUCCUGACCCACUAAUGGGCCCUGACCCGGAGUCUGAAACACACCACGGCUCGCUGACACCCACCAUUCAACACGGCAUUUCUGUGGGACAAUGCGCUUCGUGUUCUAAAAGAGAGACACAGCGAGAGAAGGAACACAAGCACGGGGAGUGGAAGAGGGAGAAGCAGGCUUCCCGCCGAGGAGGGAGCCCGAUGUGGGGCUCGAUCCCAGGACCCUGGGAUCGUGACCUGAGCCGAAGGCAGACGCCCAGCGACUGAACCACCCAGGCGCCCCAAAGUCUGUUUGCAUAUAAGCCAACCAGAUAUGGGUGAUGCUGUGCCGCAAUAUUUACACUUUCAUUAAAUGUC